rnacentral:rRNA from 1 species
UACGGAGGGGGCUAGCGUUGUUCGGAAUUACUGGGCGUAAAGCGCGCGUAGGCGGCUUUGUAAGUUAGAGGUGAAAGCCCGGAGCUCAACUCCGGAAUUGCCUUUAAGACUGCAUCGCUAGAAUCAUGGAGAGGUUAGUGGAAUUCCGAGUGUAGAGGUGAAAUUCGUAGAUAUUCGGAAGAACACCAGUGGCGGAGGCGACUAACUGGACAUGUAUUGACGCUGAGGUGCGAAAGCGUGGGGAGCAAACAGG